AGCAGCCGCGGUAAUUCCAGCUCCAAUAGCGUAUAUUAAAGUUGUUGCAGUUAAAAAGCUCGUAGUUGAAUUUCGGGAUCAAUACGUCGGUCGUGCCUUCGGUUCGUACUGGCGUUAUUGAUUUCUCCCUUCUGACGAGCCAUGAUGUCAUUUAUUUGGUGUUAUGGGGAGUCGGGACUGUUACUUUGAAAAAAUUAGAGUGUUUAAAGCAGGCUUUAGCUUGAAUACAUUAGCAUGGAAUAAUGAAAUAGGACGUUCGAACCUAUUUUGUUGGUUUCUAGGAUCAACGUAAUGAUUAAUAGGGAUAGUUGGGGGCAUUAGUAUUCAAUUGUCAGAGGUGAAAUUCUUGGAUUUAUUGAAGACUAACUACUGCGAAAGCAUUUUGCCAAGGAUGUUUUCAUUAAUCAAGACGAAAGUUAGGGGAUCGAAGACGAUCAGAUACCGUCGUAGUCUUAACCAUAAACUAUGCCGACUAGGGAUCGGAUGAUGUUAAUUUUUAUGACUCAUUCGGCGCCUUACG
rnacentral:rRNA from 1 species